AUGAACGCUGGCGGCGUGCCUAAUACAUGCAAGUCGAGCGAACAGACGAGGAGCUUGCUCCUCUGACGUUAGCGGCGGACGGGUGAGUAACACGUGGAUAACCUACCUAUAAGACUGGGAUAACUUCGGGAAACCGGAGCUAAUACCGGAUAACAUGUUGAACCGCAUGGUUCAACAGUGAAAGACGGUCUUGCUGUCACUUAUAGAUGGAUCCGCGCCGCAUUAGCUAGUUGGUAAGGUAACGGCUUACCAAGGCAACGAUGCGUAGCCGACCUGAGAGGGUGAUCGGCCACACUGGAACUGAGACACGGUCCAGACUCCUACGGGAGGCAGCAGUAGGGAAUCUUCCGCAAUGGGCGAAAGCCUGACGGAGCAACGCCGCGUGAGUGAAGAAGGUCUUCGGAUCGUAAAACUCUGUUAUUAGGGAAGAACAAAUGUGUAAGUAACUAUGCACGUCUUGACGGUACCUAAUCAGAAAGCCACGGCUAACUACAUG
rnacentral:rRNA from 1 species